CUCAGCAGUGGCAGACAACAGAGCCCCGCCCCAGGGGCGGUGGGCAGGGCUGGUGGGGCAAAGCUGGUGUGAGCCAGGAGCAGGUGACCUCCAGCCUCAACACCGCUUCCGAUGAAGGGCUCGGCCCCCAGGGCCGGAUGUGAUGACACCUGAGACCAGACGGAUGCCUCCUGGCCCCUAGGAGGCCCCAGGUGGGGUCGAGCAGCUGAUGAGAGAGGAAGGGAAGCAGCACGAGGCUAAUUCGCGCAUCGCCUUUGCCUCUAAUGCGGCUCAGCCGCGAGGGCUCAGGGGGCGGCGCCUCCCCCGUCAUUUCUGUCUUGAGAAGCAGGGGCCUCCCGGGCCUUGACCUCGGCCGUGGGAGCAUUACCAGGCAUUUCUCCAGCCACCCCAGGCCUGCGGGAGGCUCCGACGCAGGCUCAGGCUGUGUGGGGGUCACGGCGGGCAGCCGGGGGAGGAGCGCGCUAUGUGGGCUCCCACCAAGCCGUCCUCUCAGCGGUGCAGCCCUCAAGGGUCCAGGUGCAUCAGAGCAUCACCCCUCGGAGGCUGCCAGUCUCAGGGGAGGCUUCAAAGACGCCAGUGCUGCCUGGGAUGUGCUGCUUGGAAAAUGCUCUUAGUCUCCAGAGAGAGAACAGGUAAGCCUUGGUGUCUUUAAGCCUCAGAGGGAGGCCCUUUUGCUAAGUUGGAGUGGAUUCUGAAUGAAUUCCUCUUAUCCCAUUUCCAAACCUUCACCACACUCAAGUUCUCUCCACCUGCUCUUCUCAGAUAAGGCCCCAGCACAUCCUUCUGGGGCAAUGGCAGGUGAGUCCCUGGCUUGCUGUCUCUAUCCCAACCCCUUUAUGAACUUGCUCCUAUUCCCUCCCUGCUAAGCUGCUCCUACUGCUGGGUGCUUGCUGUUUGUCCUUCACGUCAGCUCCAGAAUCUGGGCUUUGCUCCAGCCCUGGACCCCUUUGCUCCUGUAUUUUCCAGUCCUUCCUUUCUAAUGUUUUCCUCCUAAAUGCAUAAACAUGCUCAAGCCUCGUCUUUGUUUAGCAAAGAACAAGCCUCAGCCAGCCUCCAGAUAGCCUGUGCUUUCACGCUCCUCCCCAUGCCAGGUCCCCACGGAGCAGGCUGGACCUGCCAUCUCUUCUCCCUUGUCAUUCACGCCUUCCUUCCUCACGGCCAUCAGACUUCCGAUCCCAGGUCUCCCCAGAUACUUUGGAAAAAUGGAGCCCUUACUUCAGUUUUUCAAGAGGUCUUGAUUCAUAAUAUACUUCUGCUCCACAAUACCACCAGCCACCAGAAAGCAGCUGCCCCAGGCCCCACCCUAAGCUUCCCCAUCUCCAUGAGCUGCUGAAUAGUGUCCCCCAGAGGGAGGCCUGGCUGCCACAAUGAAUAUGGCCCUAGCUAAAUACUCUGGACUGUAGCUUUUUUUUUUUUUUUUUGCCAUUUCUGGGGCUCUCCCACGGCAUAUGGAGGUUCCCAGGCUAGGGGUUGAGUUGGAGCUCUAGCCGCCGGCCUACACCACAGCCACAGCAACGCAGGAUCCGAGCCGCAUCUGCAACCUACACCACAGUUCACGGCAACGCUGGAUCCUUAACCCACUAAGCGAGGCCAGGGAUUGAACCCGCAACCUCA
rnacentral:lncRNA from 1 species